GCGCCCAGAGCGGUGGUCUCAGGCAUGGACGGCUUCACUGCAAAGCACAAUCAACACCAUGUUUACGGGUAAGAAAAACAAGUUGAUGCAUCUUUAUGGACAUAUUCAUGGGACAAACACAACAAAUAUAUUGCAUGUUGACCAAAAUACGUACAUUUCCAAAAGCUGCAAUUUCUAUUCAUUUUCUAGUGUUUGUUAUUCAGUGUGUCAUCUAUUCCACUUUAUGCAAGCAGAUGGUAUUAAUGCUCAGUGUAGCACCAUCACAGUUUGAUGCAGGCUAGAAAAGGACUUUUAUGUUGAUAAAAAUGUACUUUGUGCACCAAAACCUUUUGUCGUAUGUAUGCAAGUCCACCGACCUACUGCCAGAGUUUCUGAGUUUUCCGCACCCACACAACAGUUUCCCGUUUAGCAUCACCCUAUUGAAAAAUAUGAUAAAAGGAUCUUGCCGACAGGGAUGCAGAGGAUGUCGGCCUGCAGCUGCAUCAGCAGCUUGUUGGACGUCAUCCCUCCGUCCACCUGGAGCUGGGUGAGGGGAAUACCGCUGUCCUGGUUCAUAGCGUCCAGGAUCUUCAAAGAAAACAGAAAAACAGUUAUCACACAAAUACCUACAUCUAAAUUAAAAAUAUAUACAAAUCUACCAAACGGAUUGCUACAUUGAGUAUGUAUUAGACGAGUGUGUUGAAAUAGUUUUGGGAAAUUGAGCACCUUUCUCACCAACAUCAGUGUGAAAAGUGUGGAAAUACAAUAUGCAUUCAUGUGCUUACCUCCCGUGUCUGGAAACACACAGCUUCCAGUGCAGCGAACGCCACGUGAUACUUAUUAGUGAACUGAGUCAACCCGCAGAUGAUCCUGUCAGAGAGUAUCGAGUGAACAGAGAGUAAGGACGGUGAAGGAUUUUAGACACUGAUCUGAAUUUGUGUCUUCUUCUUCUUACCCUCUUGCACUGGGCUCCCAGUACGGUGCGUAGAGGCCCGAAAAGGCAGGAACAAAGUAACAGCCGUAGGAAGUGCCGACUGACGCUGCAAACUGCUCUGCAGCGGGGAAAACACAAACAGGAAUACAUUGCAAUACAUAGACAGCACAUACCGAGCUCUUCAGAGGAUUUGAUGAUUCCCAGAUUGUCCUGCAGCCAACGAACCACAGCGCCUGCAAUGGCUACAGAGCCCUUGGAAAAAGCACCAGAAUAACACAAAAUGAUAUUGAAAAGGCAGUACAGUGGGAUUUAAGGCCAUGGAAAGUAGGUGCCAUACGUGCAGAGUUCUGGGUCCCAGUCCAGAGUGUGGAUGUUAAACAGCAUGGUUCUGCUGGCGUUGGUCACAUCUGUGCAGUGGACGCCGCCAGACUUCCCACCAGUCAAACACUGUUGGAAAUCCAUCGGAAACACACUCCAAUGGUCAGUUUUUCACCAUCAUCCCAUAUGUACAUUUGAAUGACAUCCACACCGUUACCGACCCAGAUGAGCCAGGAGUCCACGGUGCCGAACAUAGCGCGAUGUGACACCACGGCAUCGUGGACCUCGUCCACGUUGUCCAUCAGCCAGCGAAGUUUCACCGCGCUGAAGUAGGUGCUGAUUGGGAGCCCUGUUUUAUGCUGCAGGGGGACAGAGACAUACAGAACUGUUUUAAUGCUGCUACCAAGAGUGGGAUCAGACUGUAUGUGUCUUUAAAUUGCAACAAUGGUGCUUCAAUUAACAUCAAAUGUGUAGGAAUGAAAAAAUCCUCAAGCUUUGUUAUGUUGAUAUUCAGUGCAUCGUCCUCUUAAGAUUUUCCUUCAGGCAUUUUUUAUUUCAUUCUCAAUGGGAAAAAGGGGGUGAAAAUGAGCGUGUGUCACGUUUCCAUCCCUGCAGGGCUGGAGCCGGUAAAUACCGUGACCACUGCAGAGUCAUUUGUCCCGUGGAAGAAUGUAGAACAAUGUAGAACAUUUUACUGAUGACAAAAGCCAGAUGUUAGCCCAGAGGCCCAUUGUCCAUCUGUGCUCUCUAAAACCAACUGUACCUGGUGCCCCGUCAAUGGAAAGCUAAAAUAUUAAGUGCUUACCUUUAAGUGGUUCUUAUUCCUUCCUGGAGUUUUGUUGAUUAGACGUUCGACUGUUGAUUGAGUCCGCAGGUCCAACCAAACUGAAGGAAAAACAACAUUAUUUCACAGCAGCCAAAAAUCUGUUAAAAUACAAUAUGAUUGUGUCUGCGUACUCUUUAAAAAGGCACAGAUUAGUGCUUAUAUAAAUGGAAAUAAUAAAUCAAAUAACAUUCAACUGUACCUAUUGCAUUGUAGAGGGGCUCCCCUGUUUCUUUGUCCCAAACAAGCGUGGUCUCUCUUUGGUUGGUCACUCCAAUAGCUGCACAGAUUCAAAUCAUUUCCACAUUUUUAGAUAAUGAACGCCUUACUAUGAUAUAAAUGAAAAGGGCCUCAUCGGUAACAUGUGAGCUUGCGUACCUUUAAUGUUUGAGAUGUCUAUGUUUAGCUGGGUGAGUUUUUCACACGUCCGCUCCAUGCACUCGUAAACCGACUGCAGAAUUUCUUUGGGGUCUUCCUCCACCCAUCUGAAACAGAUGGCAGUGUAUCACAAUUAAUAAGAUUACAUUUCCUAAAUGUGUAUGCAUAUUUUAGGAAUUGUUUUGUAUCAUUUCACAAACCCUUCUUUGGGGAAGCUCUGUUUGAUUUCCACCAGAUGAUGGCUGAGGAGCUCUGCUGUUUUCGCAUUAAACACCUUUGAAGAAGGAACAUAGCUCUUUAAUAUUUAUGCAUGGUACAAUUAUAUCAAAACAACACAAUGAAAUACCUACUUUUAGCAGAAUUGUUUUUACUAUGCAGGCUUUUUGCACACAACAGCACAGUUGCAACUAUGCCUAGGCACUGUCAUAUUUUCACAGUAUAGUAAUCACAGCAUGGACCAUUUGAUGUUAAAACAUUAGGAUUGAAGUUAUUAUAGUAGGACAACAAGAAGGAAAUAUAGCAUUUUAAGUUGUGUUUGUGUGUUAAAAUAUUAAAAAAUAUGUCUAGUUUU